rnacentral:tRNA from 1 species
GCCGGGAUGGCGGAACGGUAGACGCGGCGGACUCAAAAUCCGUUGUCCGAUAAGGACGUGUGGGUUCGAAUCCCACUCCCGGUA